rnacentral:rRNA from 1 species
GGUUACUGCUAUCGGUGUUCGCCUAAGCCAUGCGAGUCAUAUGUUCGUAAGAACAUGGCGUACUGCUCAGUAACACGUGGAUAACCUGCCCUUGGGUCCGGCAUAACCCCGGGAAACUGGGGAUAAUUCCGGAUAACGCACAUAUGCUGGAAUGCUUUAUGCGUAAAAUGGAUUCGUCUGCCCAAGGAUGGGUCUGCGGCCUAUCAGGUAGUAGUGGGUGUAAUGUACCUACUAGCCUACGACGGGUACGGGUUGUGAGAGCAAGAGCCCGGGAUGGAUUCUGAGACAUGAAUCCAGGCCCUACGGGGCGCAGCAGGCGCGAAAACUUUACAAUGCGGGAAACCGUGAUAAGGGGACACCGAGUGCCAGCAUCCUAUGCUGGCUGUCCGGGUGUGUAAAAUACACCUGUUAGCAAGGGCCGGGCAAGACCGGUGCCAGCCGCCGCGGUAACACCGGCGGCCCGAGUGGUGAUCGUGAUUAUUGGGUCUAAAGGGUCCGUAGCCGGUUUGGUCAGUCCUCCGGGAAAUCUGACAGCUCAACUGUUAGGCUUUCGGAGGAUACUGCCAGACUUGGAACCGGGAGAGGUAAGAGGUACUACAGGGGUAGGAGUGAAAUCUUGUAAUCCCUGUGGGACCACCUGUGGCGAAGGCGUCUUACCAGAACGGGUUCGACGGUGAGGGACGAAAGCUGGGGGCACGAACCGGAUUAGAUACCCGGGUAGUCCCAGCCGUAAACGAUGCUCGCUAGGUGUCAGGCAUGGCGCGACCGUGUCUGGUGCCGCAGGAAAGCCGUGAAGCGAGCCACCUGGGAAGUACGGCCGCAAGGCUGAAACUUAA